rnacentral:rRNA from 1 species
UAGCUAGUUGGUGGGGUAACGGCCCACCAAGGCCACGAUGCGUAGCCGACCUGAAAGGGUGAUCGGCCACACUGGGACUGAGACACGGCCCAAACUCCUACGGGAGGCAGCAGUAGGGAAUCUUCCGCAAUGGACAAAAGUCUGACGGAGCAACGCCGCGUGAGUGAAAAAGGUUUUCGGAUCGUAAAACUCUGUUGUCAGGGAAAAACAAGUAUGGGAGUAACUGCCCGUACCUUGACGGUACCUGACCAAAAAGCCACGGCUAACUACGUGCCAGCAGCCGCGGUAAUACGUAGGUGGCAAGCGUUGUCCGGAAUUAUUGGGCGUAAAGCGCGCGCAGGCGGCCUUUUAAGUCUGAUGUGAAAGCCCCCGGCUCAACCGGGGAGGGUCAUUGGAAACUGGAAGGCUUGAGUGCAAAAAAGAAAAGCGAAAUUCCACGUGUACCGGUGAAAUGCGUAGAGAUGUGGAGGAACACCAGUGGCGAAGGC